UUAUGGCCACAUCAUCUUGAAACACCAGUUUCCAUAUGAUCAUCAAAGUUAAGCAACACUAAGCCUGAUCAAUACCUAGAUGGGUGACCACUGUGGGAAUACCAGGUGCUGUAAG